GUCCCCGUCAUAAUCGUGACUGGAACCCCCCGCUGGGCACUGCUUCACGGCGUGCGCGGCGGGGCCGGCCCUGCUGAAUUAUUCACCCGUGUCUUUUGCGUACUUCUUGUUUCCUGGGUGGGCUCGCCCGCCCUCAGGACCAACCACAAACCUUUUGCAAUAGCAAUCAGCGUCAGUAACAACGUAAUUAAUUACAACUUUCAACAACGGAUCUCUUGGUUCUGGCAUCGAUGAAGAACGCAGCGAAAUGCGAUACGUAGUGUGAAUUGCAGAAUUCAGUGAAUCAUCGAAUCUUUGAACGCACAUUGCGCCCUUUGGUAUUCCAAAGGGCAUGCCUGUUCGAGCGUCAUUUGUACCCUCAAGCUUUGCUUGGUGUUGGGCGUCUUUUGUCUCCAGUUCGCUGGAGACUCGCCUUAAAGUCAUUGGCAGCCGGCCUACUGGUUUCGGAGCGCAGCACAAGUCGCGCUCUUUGCCAGCCAAGGUCAGCGUCCAGCAAGCCUUUUUUUCAACCUUUGACCUCGGAUCAGGUAGGGAUACCCGCUGAACUUAAGCAUAUCAAUAAGGCGGAGGAA
rnacentral:rRNA from 1 species